UGGGGAAUCUUGCGCAAUGGCCGAAAGGCUGACGCAGCGACGCCGCGUGUGGGGGAGCGCCUUUCGGGGUGUAAACCACUGUUGCCCGGGACGAACAGCUUCUUUCGAGGAGCCUGACGGUACCGGGUGAGGAAGCACCGGCUAACUCCGUGCCAGCAGCCGCGGUAAUACGGAGGGUGCAAGCGUUGUCCGGAAUCAUUGGGCGUAAAGGGCGCGUAGGUGGCCCGGUCAGCGUGCGGUGAAAGCUCGGGGCUCAACCCCGAGUCGGCCGUGCGAACUGCCGGGCUCGAGCACUGUAGAGGCAGGCGGAAUUCCGGGUGUAGCGGUGGAAUGCGUAGAGAUCCGGAAGAACACCGGUGGCGAAGGCGGCCUGCUGGGCAGUGGCUGACACUGAGGCGCGACAGCGUGGGGAGCAAACAGGAUUAGAUACCC
rnacentral:rRNA from 1 species